GAGGGGUUUCCUCAACUCACUUUUGCACGGCGAUGCUGGAAGAGAGGCGCUUAUGCCGGGCUCCUGGGGGGCGGGGGGUGUCUCUCACGGAAGGACGGUGAGAGCGUCUCCCAGGGUCUGGGGGAGCGCUUGGAUGUGGAGCGUUGCUUAAAUGAGGUGCCGAGGGAUGAACCUUUGUGCCGGGGAGUAGCAGAGGGAUAGGAUGUAAACCAGACACAAAUGGAGGAGGCCAGAGGAGCACAGCAAUGAGAAGAUGCGAAGCGCUUGGUACGGCCAGGUACUGGUACCGGGGGCACCAUGAGCCAGAUGAGUAUUGGUGGUCUGAAGCAUUCCAACCGCUGGUCCAAUAUGACAGAGGCCCUUGCGGAAAGAGGUCACGGUCAAGCGGUUUCAGAUGGAAACUAAUCCGGCAAUGCCAUGCUUUCGGACCCUAUGUCGGAAGUAAAGCCAGGUAUCACCAAUCAAUGUCAAAUGAGUGA